CAGGGUGUUGUCCUUCCUGCGGUAAGGAACCCACGAAAGCAAGAGCGAACCUGGGUUUGCAGGAUGGUCAUGUGGGGUCCAGGCUUUAGCUGCUCUGGAAGCUGAGCUAGUGAUGAUAAAGUUAUCCCUGUCUGAAGUUAGCCUUUCCUCUGUGGAAGCAUGAAUCUGAGGCUCAGCAUUAAGGACCUAAAGGUAAAAAAGCAGCCUGUUACAUGAAUUAAGUCUAUCCCCUUUCUCUGUUUCAGGGCACAGCACAUCCCCAAGCAAGGGUAAAAAUAUCUUUUGCACUCACCUUCCUGGGAACUUGAACUAAGCUGAUUACUUCACUGGACUAACCUUCAGCCUGUACCAGGUGCAGAAUGGAUUUGUAUUUGUUUGCUGAAGGUGAGUGACGUGCGCUGACCAGCUGAACCAGCAGAUAUGACAACAGUGGACCUUCUGGGGAAAUCAAGGCUGGGCCUGGUCUACAGCUGCCUGGAGGAAAGGGCUGUUCCCUGCUGUCUUCUGUUCCAGAAUAAAAUAAGUUAUUGAAAAAUCUCGGGAGUUGACGUUUUCUUGUUAAGGAUAUCUACUCAAACAGUUUUGAGCAGUUUCAGUUUGAAAUGGUUACUGAAAUUCAGGCACCUGUAAGUUUACCCUUCAUAGCAAAGCCUGCUUUUCUUAAGGUAUUUAAGAGUCUUCAGACUUCAGUGCCUUCAGGCUGCAAAGUAAAGAAAUGCAAUUCAUGGUAACACUGUCACAAGGUGAGUUUACAUGGGCCAAACCAAGUAUGACUAAGCUUUAGGACUGAUGAAAGAAAUGUUUCUUAUGGGCUGCCUGGAAGCUCAGAUAAGGGAAAAGUAGGAGGCAGUAGUACAACCAUCAGCUUCCUUAUCUGUUAAGUUGAUUAAAAAUGGGAGCACUUAACUUCAGUGCUAGGCUGUACCAUUGGCUGGAAAACCUCCCUAUUUAAAAUAGGGAGGGUCUGUGAGCAGUGUGCAGUGAAACACCUCUGCAGGUAAUGAGUUGGACUGGAUUCCUGGCGGGCUGCUAUACAAUGACAACAACCAUUUUAAAAGCAGAUUUUGCUGCAGACAUCAUGGGGCAGCUGACAAAGCCACCCAUAGGGGCUGUGCUGACAUUUGGCUGGAGCUGGUUUGGGAGGCUGUGGUGCUUUGUCAGGUGAUGUGAGAAUCAGGCUCGUUCUUGUCAUGGAAGACGCUUUGUCUACUGAGCAUGCUCGCGUAUGAAAACAGGCCUAACAGGCUGCCUUGAUGCCAUUGUAAAAUUUUUCUGACGUGAACAAAGGUUAAUUUGAGACUCACCUGAGAACACAAAAGACGGUCUCCACGUUAGAGAUUACAUCUGAACAAGCUUUUUGACUAGCCUUCCCUAACACGCAUUCAAAAUAGCCGAAUUCAGCCUGCUGCCUUAAAGAUAGAGUGAGCUUAGGUGGGUGGGGGGGUGUUUUUGUUGAGGUUUCCUGGCUAAUUGCCAGGUCCUCUUACUACCUCUGCAGCUAUGUGUUUCUCCCCAGCUGACAACAACUAGCAGCCAAAGUGAGAAAUGCUGUGCUCAAACCAGCUUAGGCAAGCUGUCACAGUGGCCCUCUGGCUUGGAACAUUGGGCUCAUUCAUCAGCUGUGGCUAACUGCUGGGUGAGGGAGCCAGGCCUCCCUGCCUCUGGGAAGGGCUGCAGAUUUAACCCAGCUCCCAACCUUCUCAUCGCUGCCUUUCUGUGCCUGUUCCUGAGUCUAAGCCUCAUGCUGUUGAGUGCUACAGCCUUUCCACUGGGGGGGAGGUCGGUGUCACCCCCUUCACCAAAACAACAGAAGAAAAUAAAAUGUUCAUUCAACAUUUAUGCAAUUAUACAAAGUAGGAAAAUGUUUCAGAUUUUGUCCCCCCCAACCCCUGUGUAGUACCAUCCCUCUAGCCAGCCACCAAUUGCUGAAGUAGCAUCCCCUGCGGGGCUUCCUAGUUUCACAGCAUUGGCUUACAAUGGUUAGCUGAGGGGUUCAAGACCGUCUCUUCCAUUUUCCAUCUGAUUUUUUUUUUUUUUUAAUGAGACUGAUGAUAGCUUAGACUUGUGCCAUGAGCUGUUGGUUCCCUAACCCAUCUGGUAUGGGGAGGACUGCCUUGUUAAAGGAGGUGGAGGGCAUCACAUGAUCCCAGUGCAAAAAAAGAGGGAGGGGGCAGUAUGUUAACUCUCCUCUUAUGGAUGAUCAAAGACCAGCCACAUGCUCCAGUUGAGCUAGAGUAAUCCUAGUCUUACCUGAUGUAUAGUUUCUUUUUAAGACCUUUCAUUGCCUUGACCAAGGUGACAACAUAUAGAGAAUGGGAAAAGAAAGCUGCAGACGCAUUACAUCCUGUGUCUGUCACAGGAGAGGGCAGCCAAGCCACUGCUAUCUUCUGGUGAUGGAGGCAAAGCAAUCCUGCUGGAAAGAUGUGUGCAUCAAUCCAGACCUUUGGGCGGUCAGCUUUAUGCAGUCCAAGAGAGAGGUGUCCUCCAAACACACCACCGUUCUGCAUAGUUGGACAAUCUAGUCUAAGGAUUCGGGCCCAUUGUGAUCCUGCCAUGGUGAGGAGCGUUUGGGCUGCUGGUUCUUGGUCCUGGAGCGUGAUGGAAAUGUACAGGACCAGAUGAGUGUUCUCCAGUCGGUGGCUUUACACUCAUAGAAAACAGGCUGUAAAUCUCCAGGGAGGGAAAGGGAAAAAAAAAGGGGGGGG